GAUGAACGCUGGCGGCGUGCCUAAUACAUGCAAGUCGAGCGAACGGACGAGAAGCUUGCUUCUCUGAUGUUAGCGGCGGACGGGUGAGUAACACGUGGAUAACCUACCUAUAAGACUUGGAUAACUUCGGGAAACCGGAGCUAAUACCGGAUGAUAUUUUGAACCGCAUGGUUCAAAAGUGAAAGAAGGUCUUGCUGUCACUUAUAGAUGGAUCCGCGCUGCAUUAGCUAGUUGGUAAGGUAACGGCUUACCAAGGCAACGAUGCAUAGCCGACCUGAGAGGGUGAUCGGCCACACUGGAACUGAGACACGGUCCAGACUCCUACGGGAGGCAGCAGUAGGGAAUCUUCCGCAAUGGGCGAAAGCCUGACGGAGCAACGCCGCGUGAGUGAUGAAGGUCUUCGGAUCGUAAAACUCUGUUAUUAGGGAAGAACAUAUGUGUAAGUAACUGUGCACAUCUUGACGGUACCUAAUCAGAAAGCCACGGCUAACUACGUG
rnacentral:rRNA from 1 species